rnacentral:rRNA from 1 species
AGGAAAGCACCAGAAUGCUAUACGAUGGAUCGCUAGGCUCGCGCAGCGAUGAAGGAUGUGACAAGCUGCACAAAGCCCGGGGGAGCCGCACGUAGGUGUUGAACUCGGGAUUUCCGAAUGGGACUUCCCCAUCGAAUCCGUAAGGAUGGCGAACGCAGGGAAUUGAAGCGUCUUAGUACCUGCAGGAAAAGAAACCAAUUGGGAUGCUGCAAGUAAGAGCGACUGAACGUAGCACAGGGCAAACUGAAUCUUCCGCUGAAAGGCGGUGGAGAUGUGGUGUUGUAGGACAUACUUUCGACCGUCCUUGUCUGAGAUGAAGUCUCCUGGAACGGAGCGCUACAGAGGGUGAUAGCCCCGUAAUCAAAAGACGAGAUGGUUUGUGUGUCUCCUGAGUAGCACGCCUUGGAAAUGGCGUGUGAAGUUGGGGGUCAACUACCUCUAACCCUAAAUAUGUCGUGAGUCCGAUAGCGAAACUAGUACCGUGAGGGAAUGCUGAAAAGAACUCUUCACAGAGUGUCAAAAGAGCGUGAAAUCGUAUAGCUAUAGAAAGAUGCGCAUCUUCGGAUGUGCAUCGUACGUUUUGAAUAACGUGCCAGGGAGUGUACAUGCGUGGCGAGGCUAACUCUUGAGAGGGAGCCGCAGGGAAACCAAUCGCUCGCAGGUAACGAGGAGCACGGUGUGAAAGUGCCGUGAGUCACGUGUGUACGACCCGAAGCCGGUCGAUCUAACCCAGGGUAAGGUGAAGCGCUGGUAAAACAGCGUGGAGGCCUGAAGAAGUAUUCCGUGCAUGGAUUUUUCUAACCUUGGGCUAGGGGUAAAAAGCCAAUCGAGACCGGCGAUAGCUGGUUCCAGCCGAAGUUGGCCGUAGUCAAGUCUACGUUGAGCUGCGGUGGCGUGUAGAGUUACUGAUUGAGGAUUUAGGGCGGGCGACUGCUCGGUUCUUUGUCAAACUCCGAAACGCUGCCGAGUGUUGACGCGUGGAAACGCCUGCACGUCGUAAGGGUGUGUAGGGAGAGGGGAACAACCCCAACUGAAGUUAAGGUCCCUAAUUAUGUGUUGAGUGUGAAAGGGUGAAGGUUGUCAUUAUCCAUAGACAGCGAGGAGAUUGGCUUAGAAGCAGCCACUCUUUAAAAAGUGCGUAAAAGCUUACUUGUCAAGGGUAAUGGCGCCGAAAAUGGACGGGGCUAAACACAUAACCGAUACUUCAGAGCAUCGCAAGAUGUCUGGUAGGCUGUGCGUACCGCAUGGAGAGAAGUGUGUCCGAGAGGAUAUGUGGACCGUGCGGUAAUGAGAAUCCUGGUAAGAGUAGGAACUGAGCGUGGUGAGAAUCCACGUCACCGGAAGGGCAAGGGUUCCUCAACAAUGUAGAUCAGUUGAGGGUUAGUCGAGCCUAAGCGAGCUCCUAAGUGGAGUGUAGCGCGAAAGGGCAAUCGGUUAAUAUUCCGAUACUAUUUUUGUAUAUGUGGCGACACAAGGUUGUACGCCGACGUUUUGGGCUAGAUAGACACGGCGCUCCUGCCGUGGGAAUGUGUGCAGGUCUCGGGAGUAUCGUCACGAUGAGAACGAGAGCAACACACAGAUGCGUCCCAUUUGGGAUUCUGUUGAUGCCUGGAACCCGUGAAAAGGAGUACAAUCAGAUCAAAAAUAUUCGUACCCAGAACCAGCACAGGUGCCCCUAGGUGAGAAACCUCAGGUGUGAAGGGAAAAACUACGUAAGGGAAUUCGGCAAUUUAGUCCUGUACCUUCGGUAGAAAGGAUCCCUACGUUCGUGUACAUACGUAUGCGUCUGUAGGGUGCAAUAACUCGGGAGACCCGACUGUUUAACAAAAACUUAGCCAACUGCUAGUCAGCAAUGAUGUGUAUAGUUGGUGACGUCUGCCCAGUGUCAGUACCUAAAACUCCGGUUCAACGGAGCUAAGGGCUGGUAAACGGCGGGGGUAACUAUAACUCUCUUAAGGUGAAAUCGUUGCCUUAAGACCCAAAACAGUCAGUUCAGAGUACCGAAGUUGUCGAAUGAACAAGUUAUGUCAUCGAAAGAUGGGAUACAAAUUUGGCUAUAUGCUGGAAUAUCCGUGUAUCUUACACUACCACUGGACAUGUGCGCGUAGCGUAUUUAAACGCGCUGUGUUGUCAGGGUGACAAUGUGAUAAGUGCGGACAAUCAGCAGGAAAGGCCAAGUGCGAAUUGGAUAGCAGGAUUCGUUGAUGGUGAAGGAUGCUUUCAUGUUGCGAUUAAUAAGCAGCCGAAAAUGACACUAGGAUGGCAAGUCCUGCCUGAAGUCAGGAUCGCGCAGCAUAAACGUGACGAGGAAGUACUUCACAAAAUUCGAUCUGUGUUACAAUGCGGUGCUGUCGUGAAAAGCCAUGGAGAUAUUCUCGAACUUCGAGUUCGAGGAAUUGAGCAAUUGAAUCAUUUGGUUCGGUUCUUCAAGAAACACCCAUUGCACACAACAAAGAAACGCAAUUUCGAGCUCUUUGCUCAGGUGAUUGCGCUCAUGAAUGAGCGAGAACACUUGACAAGGAACGGGUUGCGGAAAAUUGCAUUGCUCGCAGCAAAGAUGAAUCGACGAGUCACGCCAAAGUACUUGGAAUCCUCAGAGACUGCAUGCCAAACACGCUUCGCGUGAAGAUACAGUCCGAACUGCAUGGCGACAUGCAGAGCUGCACAGAAAUGAUGCAGCCACCAACGACAGUUGGGAGUAACAACUCGAACGAAAUGCCUUGCCGUUUGAUUGACGGCCUGCAUGAAUGGCGUAACGAGGUCUCCACUGUCCCUACGUAUUACCCUCCGAAAAUCCCAUUCUGGUGCAAAGGCCAGAGAAGUCCAGUGGGAAGCGAAGACCCCGUGAAACUUUACUGUAGCCUGUUGUUGUGACGUGAAUUUUAGUGUAUAGUGUAGGAAGGAGACGUUUUAAGCAAGGACGCAAGUUCUUGUGUAGUCGACAAGUGUAACACUUCCCUUUAAUGUUUACGCCACUCACCUCGAAAGAGGGACAUCAUUAGGUGGACAGUUUGUCUGGGGUGGAACGCCGCUGAAAAGAUAUCAGUGGCGCCCAAUGGUUGGCUCAACCGGGUCAGAAAUCCGGUGUAGAGUGCAAGGGCAAAAGCCAGCCUGACUGGAAUCCCAAUGUGACAGAUUUCAGAAGCGAAAGCUGGGCCUAGCGAUCCUUUAGCUCCUAUUGUUGAGGGCUAGAUGUGACCGAAAAGUUACUCCGGGGAUAACAGAGUUGUCGCGCCUGAGAGCUCAUAUCGACGGCGCGGCUUGCUACAUCGAUGUCGGCUCUUCCUAUCCUGGCUGUGCAGAAGCGGCCAAGGGUGGGGGUGUUCACCCAUUAAAAGGGAUCGUGAGCUGGGUUCACAACGCUGCGAGGCAGUUGGUAUGAUAUCUACUGGACUUGUUCGAGCGUCUGAGAGGAAGGAUCAUUCAGUACGAGAGGAACGAUGACCCCACGCCUCUGGUGUACCUGUUGUCCGGAAGGGCAGGCAGGGCAGCUACGCGUGAAGGGAUAAGCACUGAAAGCAUCUAAGUGCGAAACCCGCCUCGAAAAGAGACGCCAGGACUCCGAUAGAAGAUCGGUUUGAUGGGGCCGGGGUGUAAGUUGGAAGGCAACGACCAAUUCAGCCCGCGGCUACCAAUCGUCCGUUAUUGCUUUCCU